GACGAACGUUGGCGGCGUGCUCAACACAUGCAAGUCGAACGGAAAGGCCCUGCUUUUGUGGGGUGCUCGAGUGGCGAACGGGUGAGUAACACGUGAGUAACCUGCCCUUGACUUUGGGAUAACUUCAGGAAACUGGGGCUAAUACCGGAUAGGAGCUCCUGCUGCAUGGUGGGGGUGGGAAAGUUUCGGCGGUUGGGGAUGGACUCGCGGCUUAUCAGCUUGUUGGUGGGGUAGUGGCUUACCAAGGCUUUGACGGGUAGCCGGCCUGAGAGGGUGACCGGCCACAUUGGGACUGAGAUACGGCCCAGACUCCUACGGGAGGCAGCAGUGGGGAAUAUUGCACAAUGGGCGGAAGCCUGAUGCAGCAACGCCGCGUGCGGGAUGACGGCCUUCGGGUUGUAAACCGCUUUCGCCUGUGACGAAGCGUGAGUGACGGUAAUGGGUAAAGAAGCAACGGCUAACUACGUG
rnacentral:rRNA from 1 species